AAGUUAUUUAUUUUUAAUUUUUUGAAAUUUAAUUAUCUACAAAAAAGGUUAUUACCAAUUUGGCUUAAAGUGCACGGUUGCGGGGUUCUAGGCCGUAACGGUUUUUCUCAAAAUAUCGGCACUUCCCCUCUCCAAAUUUGUAAGGAUUUU